rnacentral:rRNA from 1 species
UGAGGAAUAUUGGUCAAUGGGCGAGAGCCUGAACCAGCCAAGUAGCGUGCAGGAUGACGGCCCUAUGGGUUGUAAACUGCUUUUGUAUGGGGAUAAAGUCAAUCACGUGUGAUUGUUUGCAGGUACCAUACGAAUAAGGACCGGCUAAUUCCGUGCCAGCAGCCGCGGUAAUACGGAAGGUCCGGGCGUUAUCCGGAUUUAUUGGGUUUAAAGGGAGCGUAGGCUGGAGAUUAAGUGUGUUGUGAAAUGUAGACGCUCAACGUCUGACUUGCAGCGCAUACUGGUUUCCUUGAGUACGCACAACGUUGGCGGAAUUCGUCGUGUAGCGGUGAAAUGCUUAGAUAUGACGAAGAACUCCGAUUGCGAAGGCAGCUGACGGGAGCGCAACUGACGCUGAAGCUCGAAGGUGCGGGUAUCGAACAGGAUUAGAUACCCUGGUAGUUCGCACAGUAAACGAUGGAUGCCCGCUGUUGGUACCUGGUAUCAGCGGCUAAGCGAAAGCAUUAAGCAUCCCACCUGGGGAGUACGCCGGCACGGU